rnacentral:rRNA from 1 species
UGGGGAAUAUUGGACAAUGGGCGCAAGCCUGAUGCAGCCAUGCCGCGUGUAUGAAGAAGGCCUUCGGGUUGUAAAGUACUUUCAGCGGGGAGGAAGGUGUUGAGGUUAAUAACCUCAGCAAUUGACGUUACCCGCAGAAGAAGCACCGGCUAACUCCGUGCCAGCAGCCGCGGUAAUACGGAGGGUGCAAGCGUUAAUCGGAAUUACUGGGCGUAAAGCGCACGCAGGCGGUUUGUCAAGUCGGAUGUGAAAUCCCCGGGCUCAACCUGGGAACUGCAUUCGAAACUGGCAGGCUAGAGUCUUGUAGAGGGGGGUAGAAUUCCAGGUGUAGCGGUGAAAUGCGUAGAGAUCUGGAGGAAUACCGGUGGCGAAGGCGGCCCCCUGGACAAAGACUGACGCUCAGGUGCGAAAGCGUGGGGAGCAAACA